rnacentral:piRNA from 1 species
UCUAUGUUAGCAGGCGAAUCUCUGGGUCA